CUUAUCACUCAGUCUCUCUUCAUUCUUGUUCAUCUCCCAACUCUGCUCUCUCUCUCUCUCUACCCAACACUCUAUCUAUCUUAUCUCUCCAAUGCCUCUCCAGAACCAAUUUUCAUCUGUCUCCCUCGCCCUCACCAUCUCCAUUCUUCCUCACUCACUCUCUUCCUCUAUGUCUCAUCUUCUUCAUCACUAUAACCACAGGAACCACCAAUACACCCACUGACGAUCUCCAACCCUCAAACCCUAAAUGUCCUUCUCUCUUCUCCAACCCUCUUUUCCUUCUGUCUCUCACCUUCUUCAUCACUGCAACCACCACCAUAACCACAAAAACCAUCACCACCACAACCAAUAGAACCACCACCACACCCGUCGUCGAUCUCCAACUCUCAAACCCUUCGGAUCCUUCUCUCUUCUUCAACCCUCUUCUCCACCACAACCCUCCAUCUCUCACAUUCUUCCUCUUCAAUCUCUCUCUUCCUAUAUUCUAAACCGCCAAUCCCCAACGAUUGAAAUCCUAACCCUAACCAAAAUGAUCCUCUUUCUCCCUCUAUUCUAAACCUCUUCUCCAACGAUCCUUCUCUAUCAGUGAUGAUCCAAACCCGAAACCCUAAUGAAGACCAUCCAAAGAACACAAAGAAGAUCAACCUUCUCUGUCAGGAUGAUGAGAAAGAAAGGAAUGGGCUAAUCUCCAACCCUCAAACCCUUUGAAUCCUUCUCUCUUCUCCAACCCUCUUCUCCACCACAACCUCUUAUCUCUCACAUUCUUUCUCUUUGAUCUCUCUCUCACUCCGUUCUAAACCGCCGAUCUCCAACGAUUGAAACCCUAACCCUAACCAAAAUGAUCCUCUCUCACCCUCUUCGAUCUAUCUCUCCCUAUAGUCUAAACCUCUUCUCCAACAAUCCCUCUCUGUCAGUGAUAAUCCAAACCCAAAACCCUAAUGAAGACCAUCCAAAGAACACAAAAAAGAUCAACCUUCUCUAUCAGGAAGGAUGAUGAGAAAGAAAGGGAUGGGCCGAUCUCCAACCUCAAACCCUUCGAAUCAUUCUCUUUUCUUAAACCCUCUUCUCCACCACAACUCUCCAUCUCUCACCUUUUUUCUCUUCGAUCUCUCUGUCACUCCGUUCCAAACCGUCGAUCUCCAACGAUUAAAACCCUAACCCUAACCAAAAUGAUCCUCUCUCUCCCUCUUCGAUCUAUCUCUCCCUCUAUUCUAAACCUCUUAUUCAACGAUCCCUCUCUGUCAGUGAUGAUCCAAACCCAAAACCCUAAUGAAGACCAUCCAAAGAACACAAAAAAAAUCAACCUUCUCUAUCAGGAAGGAUGAUAAGAAAGAAAGGAAUAGGCCGAUCUCCAACCCUCAAACCCUUCGGAUCCUUCUCGCUUCUCAAAACCCUCUUCUCCACCAUAACUCUCCAUCUCUUACCUUCUUCCUCUUCGAUCUCGCUCUCACUCCAUUCUAAACUGUCGAUCUCCAACGAUUGAAACCCUAACCCUAACCAAAAUGAUCCUCUCUCUCCCUCUUCGAUCUAUCUCUCCCUCUAGCCUAAACCUCUUCUUCAACGAUCCCUCUCUGUCAGUGAUAAUCCAAACCCGAAACCCUAAUGAAGACCAUCCAAAGAACAUUAAAAAGAUCAACCUUCUCUAUUAGGAUGAUGAGAAAGGAAGGAAUGGAGGAAGGAAACGGUUGGUUUUGGUGACUUGGCAAAGCUUGUGCCAUAUUUGACACAAGCUUUGGCAUUUGCUAAAGAUAGUAGCUGCCAAAACUUACCAUUGAAGGUGAAUUUCUAUGAACUAUUGCCAUAAUUAGGUAAUAAUAGCUUCAACAACUUGUUAUUGGAGAUGCUCUUAGGGUUUGAGAAAUAAUAUAUAUACUUAGGUAGUUGGGUCAUUUUACAAGAGGUUGUCCUUAUAGAUAAAGUAUUUUAGAAUGUGAAUGCUUAACUAAAGAAAAUCCAAAAUUGAAUUUAUGAAUAGAGUACUCUUUUGGGGGGUCAUUUUACAAGAGGUUGUCCUUAUGAAUAAAAUAUUUUAGAAUGUGAAUCUUUAACUAAAAAAAAAAUCCAAGGGGCAAAUAAGCCAAAUAAGUCAAAUAAAUUAUAAUAUAAAAUUGCAAUCAAAUAUCACUAAGACUUUUUUUAGUUAAACAAAUUAAAUAAGUUGACUUCUAAAUGCUACCACAUACACUAGUUGUAAAGUAGUUGUUGUUUUUUUUGUUUUUUUAAUUUUUUGAGGCCUAUGGUCAAAAACUUAGGGCUCAUGCCAUAUUUAAUGGGCUUGACUCAAAGGCAAUUCAUUUUUUGUUGACAAAAAAGAAAAAAAAAAAAUUUGGCUAACCAAAAAUAGAAAAUAAAAAAUAUAUAUUUUCUUUAAAACAAACGGAGCUUUAACAAAGAAGUGAGGAAGAUGAGUAAUAGUCUUUAACCCAUCGUCUAAAGGUUAUUAUAAAAAAUUUAUAAAGAAAAUGAUAUUUACUGUAAAUGUAACAAAACGACCCUCAUAUAUGCUUGUGAUAUACGUCCGUCCUUUAUUCUGUGCUAUUAAAUGUCUAAACUAAAAUUGUCCAAGGGAAUAAGUUCAAGUAACUAUGGUGUGAUGCCUUAUGAAAUGAAUUGUAUCUAUUAAGAAAGAACUGUAUCUGUUAUUACUAGAACGAUAAAGUAGGAAUUGAAGGCCUUAGCGGCUCAAUAAGCCAAAAUUGAUCAUAUAUUUAGAACCAGCAUAAUUUUUAGGUAAUAUUAAGCACUUUUGUGAAAUUUCAAUUUUCGGAUGUGUAAACGAUUGAUUUUCGUCUCAUUCUCUCCAUAAGGAUAUAUAUAUA